CAGAUGAUUAUAACACAGAUUUCAAUUUCUUGUUUUUCUUUAAAAGAAAAUACAUCUUGUUAAUCCUUAAUCUUUGAAAUGUACAUUACAGUGUACUGUUAUGCAGCGUAGAUUAAAAGUACUAUAGAUAAUUAAAAUCAACAUUUCUACAUAUUUACCUACGAUUGAGUUCAAAAAUUAUGUACUAAGUUGAAUUAUUAAGUGUCUUUUCAAUUGUGUGGUUCAAAAAUUAGGUAUGAACUAUAAUCAACUAAGAUAUGUUAUUUUCCAAUCUAUCAAGGACCACAUCUCAAACACAUUAAAAGUUGAAAAUGUCUUUAUUGACCUUUGACCUCCAUUCGGUAGUCACUAGCAUUGGUUGAACUGAAUUUAUUUAUAGCAUGGAAACAACAUAAAAUGUCAUUUCUAAAUGUCAAGGACAAUAACUCCUGAACACUAAAGGUGAAGGGGAAAAUUAUCAAUAUCGAAAACUGACCUCAAUUUUGUCACCAGUAACAACAUAUAAAAUAUUUGAAAAGCAUUGGUUGAGCAGUUAAUAUGUUAUUGCACAGAAUCUGCCCACUACUCCACUAAAUUAAUAACUGGACUUUUCCUUUUAAAGAAGUCUUCAAUAAUAUGGAGGUCUUAAAUAGAAGAAGGCUGAAUUCACAGCUGAAAAUGCAGUAGUAACCAAUAUUUUGCACAAAUGUUAGUCUAUUUUAAGUUACUAUGACCUUGACAUUUGAAAUGGUGACCUCAAAAUCAUAAGGAUAUCUACAAUAAAAGAAGGAUGAGGUCUAUGAGACAUUUUACAACAAACCUACAGAGGACAACUUAAGUGCAAAAAAUAAAUCUGAGGCUUAUUACAGAAUAAGAUGAGGGGGUCUGCCACACACAAAAUCAUGCUUUAGUUUACAGUUAAAAAGAAAUAAUGUCUGAGGACAUGAAUGCUCCCAGUGUCAUAAAAUUUGCAGCAUGUGGCAGACUAAAAUAAGAGUGCAGAAACAGAUGGACAAGGGUCACACUGAAUGCUCCCUGUCACUUACAUAGGGGGGGGGGGCAUAAAAAUCACACCAUAUUACCAAAUAAAAUAUAAAUGUUCUUUGCUUUGGGGUUUUCUAUCCAAUAAAAUACAAAGAAUCUUAUUUCAAUUUUUUUAUUCAUGAAAAAAAUAAUGACAACAUAUAAAAAUCCUACUAAAAAGUAUAACAUGCUGUUUAAUGUUAAGACAUGUCAUAGAUAGCACUAAAUUCUUAUUCACAGUGUUCAUUUUAAGCAACAAUAUCAAAAUUAAAGCUAAUGUUAAUAUUCAUUUUAUAAAAAACAAUGAGAAGACAUUUUGGGACCAAAAAAAGUCUGGUUUUGAUUUUUGAAAUAUGUCUACAAACUGGUUAACUCGUACAAUAGAUACUUAGUACUAUAAAGUGGCAGAAUUGUAAAUAAAUAUACUUUGACCAUGCAUUUUAUGAAUUUGAGAGUAAUAGAAUAUUUGUACUGCUUCCAAAAUUGUUUGCACCAAAAUUUUUCAUAUCACAGUUUAUUUUUAUAAAGAUUUAAUUAAUAGUAGUUUUUUCAAAUUAUCAGAAAAAAAAACAGUCACUUCUUAGGCUUUCAAUUAAUGAUUCCAUUAUACAAAAAUGCAUGGAUGUUUAAAAAGAACGGUAUAUGGUUAAAUGCACACCAAACUAUUGCCUUUUUUUAAAUAACUUGGAUUAACAAUGAAUAUAUAAUAAUGGUGUGCAGUUGCAGAGAAUACAUAAUUUGUUGUUAUGUUCACAAAUUUUUAAGAUUUAUAAAAAAACACGUAACAAUCUUGUGUUUUAUUUCAAUACUUCUACUUCACAAUUUGUGACUUGAAAACCAACAACAACUUAUGUUGCCAAAUCGCAUACUGUAAAUUGUGAAAUUAUUGCGAUUUUGUCAUUUGGACUGUCAGAUUUGAAUUAUAGCGAUUAUAAGAAAAAUACUUUUUAAUUCAUAUAAAAAAUUUCAAUAUGCAAGUUUAAAUUAUUGCAAUUUUAACCCUGUCACAUUUUUCGCAAUAAUAAAAUCAUUGCAAUUAUUUUUGAAUUUAUCGUACUCCAAUAUCAAACAGUUAUAGUUUGUAUGUCUCAGGUAAAGCUCUGAAAGUUUUAUAAAUAGACAACAGAAGCUAUCAUGACUGCUUGACUGCUCUUAUGUUGGGUCGUUGUUUUUUUGACAUAUUCACCUUUUCCAUUCACACUUUCAUGUAAAAAUAUAGUAUAAAUACAAACAAUUUUAUGGAACCAAAUGACUUAUGGUAAACAAUAUGUAUUUUAUGUAAUGCAUGCCUAUAAAAAGUUAACAGCAGAUCUUUAUAAUAAUUUGAGAUUAUCAUCCAAAAGGAUAUAUUUAAAUUGAAUAAGAGAUACAUGAAUAACUAUAAUGAGGAUUCAUUUAUUUUCAUGGGUAUUAAUUUUUGUGGAUUAAGGAAAACUUGCAUUUUCAUGGAUAUUUUAUGUUGUGGUUUUGCUUAUAUCUGCAUUUAGCUUUAAAAAAAAUGUAAUUCGUUGAACAUUUGAAUUUGUGGUUCACCUGUAUCCUAAAAACCAAAUAAAAUUGGUAUCCAGCAAAUAAUAAUGAAUCCACAGCAUAACCUAUUAAAAAUGAAAACAUUUUUCACGUAAGAACAUUUUUUUUUCUUAUUUGAUUUUUUCCAUAUAAAGGAGAUUAGUCAAAUUGACCUUGACCCUGAUUUGGCACUGUAAUCCUAUAGUGUCAAAGAGGAUUGUCAGCCUAUUAAAGUGAAUCAGUCAAAAUACCUAAAUAAAGUAAUAUUUACACAUAUAAACACACAAAUCUGCACAUUAACAGAAAUGAAGCAUAAUCUUCAAUCCUGGUUCUCUAAACACCUCAAAUUGGCCAUGGUUAAAAUACUGUAAUAUACUGUAAAAUAGUGUAAUACCUAUAUAAUUCAUAAUUUUUAUUUGUUGGUGAUAUAAACGUUCCUAAUUAAACAAUGACUUACAAAAAAAUUUAUCAGAGUAAAAC
rnacentral:lncRNA from 1 species